GGGCCAAUAGGGACCCCAAGGCCUAACCACACAUGAAGGAAGGAAACGCUACGGAUCAUGCGUUCAAAACGAAGCAACGCGCUCAGCUAAAAAUGAACUUCACUCUGCGUCACCUGCCCACCGCGCCAGAUGUCGCCUCUGGCGACGCCAGAGGGCCAAACCACCAAACUCAAACACCCCCAAACUCAAACACCCCCAAACUCGUUCUUUCGCCCUUAACCCGAAUCCACCAUCAAUUUUGCCAUAUGCUAACCUAAUGUCCUAACCGAAAUUUUUUAUCUAAGGACCCUAACUCCAUAAUUUAAAAUUAAAUGAAACAACAGCGGAAUCAAAAAUCAGAGUGAGAGGGUUUUGCUUCCACAUGCCCUAUACUACAUGGCGAAAACAAAUUCAAAGCGAAAAGGGAGCGGAAACCUACUUACAAGGACGAGUUUCUCCUAAGUAACCGUUGAAUUCUAGAGAAGAUGAAGGCGAACGAAGAAGAGAAAACCAGGGACUUCACCAGAGGUUAUUAACAAUUACUACGAAUGGCUAUAAUCGAAUUGCUUGGAUGGUCAACGAAAGAGCUCCUAUUUACUUGGCAUACAUGAAGAUUGGAGUGGGUUGAUUAGAUUAGCAUAGGAUUGGUAUAUUGGAAAUGUAGUUUGGAAUGUGGAAUUCUAUUGUAAUAGUUGGCUUGAAAUUGAAAGUUGUAUGUAUGCAAUAUGUAUGGAUUUUGAUUUUAAAAAGUUUGAUCCGAGAUGCUUGAAUGUCAUUGGUAAAUUUGGAAAUGGAAGCACAAUUGAAAUACA